rnacentral:rRNA from 1 species
AGUAAUGUCUGGGAAACUGCCUGAUGGAGGGGGAUAACUACUGGAAACGGUAGCUAAUACCGCAUAACGUCGCAAGACCAAAGAGGGGGACCUUCGGGCCUCUUGCCAUCAGAUGUGCCCAGAUGGGAUUAGCUAGUAGGUGGGGUAAUGGCUCACCUAGGCGACGAUCCCUAGCUGGUCUGAGAGGAUGACCAGCCACACUGGAACUGAGACACGGUCCAGACUCCUACGGGAGGCAGCAGUGGGGAAUAUUGCACAAUGGGCGCAAGCCUGAUGCAGCCAUGCCGCGUGUGUGAAGAAGGCCUUCGGGUUGUAAAGCACUUUCAGCGAGGAGGAAGGUGGUGAACUUAAUACGUUCAUCAAUUGACGUUACUCGCAGAAGAAGCACCGGCUAACUCCGUGCCAGCAGCCGCGGUAAUACGGAGGGUGCAAGCGUUAAUCGGAAUUACUGGGCGUAAAGCGCACGCAGGCGGUUUGUUAAGUCAGAUG